GACGAACGCUGGCGGCAUGCCUAAUACAUGCAAGUCGAACGCUUUUGUUUCACCGGGUGCUUGCACCCAUCGAAACAAAAGAGUGGCGGACGGGUGAGUAACACGUGGGUAACCUGCCCAUAAGAGGGGGAUAACAUCCGGAAACGGAUGCUAAUACCGCAUAUUUCCGAUUGUCUCCUGACAGAUGGAAAAAAGGUGGCUUCGGCUACCGCUUAUGGAUGGACCCGCGGCGUAUUAGCUAGUUGGUGAGGUAAUGGCUCACCAAGGCGAUGAUACGUAGCCGACCUGGGAGGGUGAUCGGCCACACUGGGACUGACACGGCCCAGACUCCUACGGGAGGCAGCAGUAGGGAAUCUUCCGCAAUGGACGAAAGUCUGACGGAGCAAUGCCGCGUGAGUGAAGAAGGUUUUCGGAUCGUAAAACUCUGUUGUUAGAGAAGAACAAGGAUGAGAGUAACUGCUCAUCCCCUGACGGUAUCUAACCAGAAAGCCACGGCUAACUACGUGCCAGCCGCCGCAGUAACAC
rnacentral:rRNA from 1 species